rnacentral:rRNA from 1 species
GACGGAGGAUGCAAGUGUUAUCCGGAAUCACUGGGCGUAAAGCGUCUGUAGGUGGUUUAAUAAGUCAACUGUUAAAUCUUGAGGCUCAACCCUCAAAAUCGCAGUCGAAACUAUUAGGCUAGAGUAUAGUAGGGGUAAAGGGAAUUUCCAGUGGGAGCGGUGAAAUGCGUAGAGAUUGGAAAGAACACCGAUGGCGAAGGCACUUUACUGGGCUAUUACUAACACUCAGAGACGAAAGCUAGGGUAGCAAAUGGGG